GGUGCUGCCCCCUAGCCGCAGCUGACCCCGCUUUGUCACGAGGUGCCCCUCACCCUUGCAUGCACUCCCCGCGCCCCAGCACACACUGCUGGCUCUCGGGCCCAGGUCUUGUCCUCUCUGCUUUCCCUCCCAGGUUUCAGAGAGGCAGGGAAACUCACUACAGCCUGGAAAUUUCAGAUAUUUCACAAGACCUAGAGCCGUCCAAGAGUGUGUUCCUUUAGGGCAUACGGAGAGUAAUGUGAAGGCCACACAGUGAGCUGGAACUGAAGCCACACCUGUCCUACCUGAGACCUCUUCACCUCCCCGCACCCGCCCCGUGAAAUGCUUGGCCCAGUGUCUGACAUAGUGUGCAGGUGUUGUGCAGGAGAAGCUGGCACACUUUGUUGAGAUGCUAAACACACACCUGGCCAGGUGUCCAAGAAGCUGAUGGAGGAUCGGGGGAAGGCAGAGUGGUAGCAGGCCUGCCUGCUGUCCACGACGACAGGGUGAGCCAGCAGAUGAGUGACAACAUGUGUGAGCUACGAAAGUGCCUGCCCGAACCUUCUGAACAUUAAAAAAAUCUGCAUUAGUCACUAUUGCUGUGUAACAAAUUACCCCCAAAGUCAGUAGAUUAAAGCAACAUAAAUUUGU